rnacentral:rRNA from 1 species
CUACGGGAGGCAGCAGUUAGGAAUAUUCUGCAAUGCGCGCAAGCGUGACAGAUUGAGUCAGAGUGCGCUUCAAUUUGGAGUGCUUUUGCCAAAUGUAAAAAGUUUGGCGAAUAAGGACUGGGUAAGACGAGUGCCAGCCGCCGCGGUAAUACUCGCGGUCCAAGUCGCAGCCAUUUUUAUUGGGUCUAAAACAUCCGUAGCUUGCUUGGUAAGUUCCUUGUGAAAUUUCAUAUCUCAAGUAUGGAGUGCGCAGGGAGUACUGCCAAGCUAGAGACUGGAAGACGUAACGAGUACGUUCGGAGUAGCGGUAAAAUGUGUUAAUCCCGGACGGACUAACAAUAGCGAAGGCACGUUACGAGGACAGUUCUGACAGUAAGGGAUGAAGGCUAGGGGCGCAAAACGGAUUAGAUACCCCCGUAGUC